rnacentral:rRNA from 1 species
UACGUAGGGUGCAAGCGUUAAUCGGAAUUACUGGGCGUAAAGCGUGCGCAGGCGGUUCUAUAAGACAGAUGUGAAAUCCCCGGGCUCAACCUGGGAACUGCAUUUGUGACUGUAGAGCUGGAGUACGGCAGAGGGGGAUGGAAUUCCGCGUGUAGCAGUGAAAUGCGUAGAUAUGCAGAGGAACACCGAUGGCGAAGGCAAUCCCCUGGGCCUGUACUGACGCUCAUGCACGAAAGCGUGGGGAGCAAACAGG